CGCUGACUGUUUCAUUUUCUUUUUAUGGGAAGAGGUGAUUAUCAAAAUGUAUCUUGUGACAGCUGCCCGCCUCCAGCCUCCUCGUGAUGUGGAUUCAGUCUCAACUGCCCACUCACCUGUGAGCUCAGCCGACACAAUGGUGCCGUAGGCAGCCAGGGAGAUGCCUUGCUCCCGCAGCCUUGCCCGGAUUCCUUCCUGCAGUAUCUCCUCCUCCAGGCCCAGGCUCAACGUCUGGAGGGGUUGCAGCAGAAAAUGCAGCCGGAAAUGCACCAGGACGCUAGAGUUCCCUUCCCUACAGAAACUCCCAGAUGUCCACCAAGUCUCCUUCACCCAAUGGAAGCUCCAACUCACCUGUAAUUCAGCACCGUGCAGCCCACACAGCUUGCCUCUAACUCUGUCUUCUGAAAACUACUUACAAACUGCAACAGAAACAAGACCAGUCAAUGUUGAGACCCACAGCAUGGGCACCCCGCCACUGCAGAGGCCUGCUGUGAAAACUUCCUCCGGGAGCUUCUUGCGUUGGUAAAAGCGACACAGAGGAACUCACCCGCCCCCCCGUCCACACCCCUGACCUGGAGCAGCCUUUGUUCCACGCGUAGACACUGCCCUCCGACGCGUGACCACGGAGACACCACCAAGUUGCUUCCCCGUGUCUGCACAGGUGCCCUGGUUUUGCAAACCCAGCCAAUCCUGUAGCUACUUACCCAAAACGACUCCCAGGGUGAGGACGACAAGGCUGGUGGCCACCACGCCAACGGUGACCGCUCGACAGCACGCGGCGUCCGGAGCAGGGACCUCCUUGGUUGUCCUGGGCAUGAGGUGUACGUCAGCCACGGCGGACUCCAUGGCUCAGAUGCAUGCAGACAGCAAUCUGGAUGUCACCCAAGACGACAGAAACACGGGGUCAGAGGCUGAAGGCGUUUGUCUUCCCAUAAGCAGGAGCUGCAACUAUGCCCUUAAAA